CGAGCGGGCCGUGACUGGCGCGCUGGGAUGGGACGGACCAUCGGGGAGCGGCCCGAGCGGUAAAACAGUGCCGUGCGCCUGGGCCGAACGU
rnacentral:ncRNA from 1 species